rnacentral:lncRNA from 1 species
UCGGCUUGCCGUUGUUGCAGCGUCUAGCUUCACUAUGAGAUCUUGGUGGCGGUGCAUCGUCUCGGGACCAAAGUCGGAGACCAAGAAGGAAACUACGAUGGCUGCGAUAAUUGUGUGGCAUUUGUGGAAGGAAAGGAACAACAGAGUGUUCCAACAAAAGGAGUGUAACUCCAUUUCUCUGUAUAGGUUGAUCGAGGAUGAAUUCUGCCUCCUUUUGGAGGCGAUAGAGAGGUAGUCUGAGUGUGUGUUGUUGUCAACUUGCUAGGCAAGUUGAUAUUUUUCCCUGGAGCUUUUCUCAAUCUCUG